AGGGAUGUAGCCAAGUGGUAAGGCACCAGACUUUGACUCUGGCAUUUCGUAGGUUCGAACCCUGCCAUCCCUGCCA
rnacentral:tRNA from 1 species